ACAAUGAUGAUGUCACUGAUUCUACUGCUGGCCACCCUGGGGCUCCUUGUUCAGGAUUCAUCAGGAGAAAUCAUCCUGACUCAGUCUCCUGGAGCUCAGUCUGUUGUUCCAGGACAGACUGUCUCUCUCAGAUGUAAAGCCAGUACACUUAUAGGUGAUGACAUUAACUGGUACCAUCAGAAAGCUGGAGAAGCUCCAAAACUCCUCAUUUAUGAUACUACAGCUCGUCAGCCUGGAGUUUCAGAUCGUUUCAGUGCAACAGCCCAACAGACUGACUUCACUUUGACCAUCAGAGGAGUUCAGACUGAAGAUACAGGAGUUUAUUACUGUCAGCAGCAUAACAGCUUCCCACUCACACAGUGAUACAACGUCAUACAAAAACCUCUCGCAGCUGGAGAGGAACUGAUCUGAAUCAACAGCUGCACAGAAAAUUAAACAUAAGACAUGACAAAAAUAUUUCUUAUAAUUAUGUGUAAAUUAAUAACAUUUCAAACAUAACAGUACUGCAUUUAUUGAUCAUGAUUUUGGGUGAAGAAUACAUUUCUCUACAACUUCUCUAACUUUUAGUCAACUGAUGUCAACUGUGUCAUUAGACAGUUCAUACAGAUGACAAUUCUUACUCUUUUAAAUAAAUUCAACACAAAACUCAGUGCAAAAGUAAAUCACUACAAAUGAAAUUGUACUAUAAAACUCAGAAACUAAAUGUUUAAUAAUGAAAUUUAAUCCACUUUAUAAAUAGUAACCCAUUAGAAAUCAUCUUCAUCUUUUUUUUUACAUUUGUGCUUGAGAUGUUACUAAAAUACUUUUUUGUUUCAGAUUGCCUGAAUGUUAUAUCCAUUUAUGCUGAUAUUUCCUGUUAUUCUUUUCCUGUGCUGUAAAACAAUAUAUAUUCUGUUUUACAGUUAUGUAAAGGUAAUUUUGAACAGGACUUUCACUUAUCUUUCUUAUCCACAUAAAUAUGCUUUAUUAUAACAUUGAAAAAUGAAAACAUUAUCAUGCUGUACUUAUGUAGUUUUAUGAUUUCAGACAUUUUUAAUAAAAUUAAAAUUAAAGCCUAGAAAAUGUCUAUUAAUAAGCUCUGACAGUAGUUUAAUAAUUUUAAUUUUAAAAAGAAUAAUACUUCUGUUUAAAUAAUAAUAUCCUCAGAAACAUUUUGAUUUGAACAAAACUAUCUUUAUUAUCUGAAAAAGAUUAUAGAGUCAGCGUGACUAUGAAUAAGAAAAUAGUAUUAUUUAAAACUUUUGUCUGAGAGAGACAGAGUUACAGAAAGCAGAUUAAAACUAGUAGCAGAGUCCCAGUGAGUCAGGUCAGGA